CCAACGGCUCUUUUCAGAGCCACCUACAUUACUCAAAGAGCUUAG
rfam:Rattus norvegicus chromosome 17, whole genome shotgun sequence.